UACGCAGGGUGCAAGCGUUGUCCGGAAUUAUUGGGCGUAAAGAGCUCGUAGGCGGUCUGUCGCGUCGGAUGUGAAAAUCCAGGGCUCAACCCUGGACCUGCAUUCGAUACGGGCAGACUAGAGUUCGGCAGGGGAGACUGGAAUUCCUGGUGUAGCGGUGAAAUGCGCAGAUAUCAGGAGGAACACCGGUGGCGAAGGCGGGUCGCUGGGACGGUACUGACGCUGAGGCGCGAAAGCGUGGGGAGCAAACAGG
rnacentral:rRNA from 1 species